rnacentral:rRNA from 2 species
GGUUAAGCGACUAAGCGUACACGGUGGAUGCCCUGGCAGUCAGAGGCGAUGAAGGGCGUGCUAAUCUGCGAUAAGCGCCGGUAAGGUGAUAUGAACCGUUAUAACCGGCGAUACCCGAAUGGGGAAACCCAGUGUGAUUCGUCACACUAUCAUUAACUGAAUCCAUAGGUUAAUGAGGCGAACCGGGGGAACUGAAACAUCUAAGUACCCCGAGGAAAAGAAAUCAACCGAGAUUCCCCCAGUAGCGGCGAGCGAACGGGGAGGAGCCCAGAGCCUGAAUCAGCAUGUGUGUUAGUGGAAGCGUCUGGAAAGGCGCGCGAUACAGGGUGACAGCCCCGUACACAAAAGCGCAUGUGCUGUGAGCUCGAUGAGUAGGGCGGGACACGUGGUAUCCUGUCUGAAUAUGGGGGGACCAUCCUCCAAGGCUAAAUACUCCUGACUGACCGAUAGUGAACCAGUACCGUGAGGGAAAGGCGAAAAGAACCCCGGCGAGGGGAGUGAAAAAGAACCUGAAACCGUGUACGUACAAGCAGUGGGAGCCCCACCACCAAAGCAUUCUAUGGUGUUGAAGGCCCUGCAAAGCAGCAUCGCGGUGGCGGAGCGUCGUUUGCGACGCCCAACACACAAAACAAGCGGUGAGUGCUUUGGGGUGGGGUGACUGCGUACCUUUUGUAUAAUGGGUCAGCGACUUAUAUUCUGUAGCAAGGUUAACCGAAUAGGGGAGCCGGAGGGAAACCGAGUCUUAAUUGGGCGUUAAGUUGCAGGGUAUAGACCCGAAACCCGGUGAUCUAGCCAUGGGCAGGUUGAAGGUUGGGUAACACUAACUGGAGGACCGAACCGACUAAUGUUGAAAAAUUAGCGGAUGACCUGUGGCUGGGGGUGAAAGGCCAAUCAAACCGGGAGAUAGCUGGUUCUCCCCGAAAGCUAUUUAGGUAGCGCCUCGUGAAUUCAUCUCCGGGGGUAGAGCACUGUUUCGGCUAGGGGGCCAUCCCGGCUUACCAACCCGAUGCAAACUGCGAAUACCGGAGAAUGUUAUCACGGGAGACACACGGCGGGUGCUAACGUCCGUCGUGAAGAGGGAAACAACCCAGACCGCCAGCUAAGGUCCCAAAGUCAUGGUUAAGUGGGAAACGAUGUGGGAAGGCCCAGACAGCCAGGAUGUUGGCUUAGAAGCAGCCAUCAUUUAAAGAAAGCGUAAUAGCUCACUGGUCGAGUCGGCCUGCGCGGAAGAUGUAACGGGGCUAAACCAUGCACCGAAGCUGCGGCAGCGAACGUAUCACUUAAAGCGAUUCAGCGGGUUACGAUUGACGGAGCGAAGCGACGUCAAAGCGUAUACAAAGUCGAGUCGGUUUAAGGAUACGUUCGUUGGGUAGGGGAGCGUUCUGUAAGCCUGUGAAGGUGUGUCGUGAGGCAUGCUGGAGGUAUCAGAAGUGCGAAUGCUGACAUAAGUAACGAUAAAGCGGGUGAAAAGCCCGCUCGCCGGAAGACCAAGGGUUCCUGUCCAACGUUAAUCGGGGCAGGGUGAGUCGACCCCUAAGGCGAGGCCGAAAGGCGUAGUCGAUGGGAAACGGGUUAAUAUUCCCGUACUUGGUGUUACUGCGAAGGGGGGACGGAGAAGGCUAUGUUGGCCGGGCGACGGUUGUCCCGGUUUAAGCGUGUAGGUGUGUGUUCCAGGUAAAUCCGGUUCACUUUAACACUGAGGCGUGACGACGAGGCACUACGGUGCUGAAGCAACAAAUGCCCUGCUUCCAGGAAAAGCCUCUAAGCAUCAGGUAACACGAAAUCGUACCCCAAACCGACACAGGUGGUCAGGUAGAGAAUACCAAGGCGCUUGAGAGAACUCGGGUGAAGGAACUAGGCAAAAUGGUGCCGUAACUUCGGGAGAAGGCACGCUGACACGUAGGUGAAGUGAUUUACUCAUGGAGCUGAAGUCAGUCGAAGAUACCAGCUGGCUGCAACUGUUUAUUAAAAACACAGCACUGUGCAAACACGAAAGUGGACGUAUACGGUGUGACGCCUGCCCGGUGCCGGAAGGUUAAUUGAUGGGGUCAGCGCAAGCGAAGCUCCUGAUCGAAGCCCCGGUAAACGGCGGCCGUAACUAUAACGGUCCUAAGGUAGCGAAAUUCCUUGUCGGGUAAGUUCCGACCUGCACGAAUGGCGUAAUGAUGGCCAGGCUGUCUCCACCCGAGACUCAGUGAAAUUGAACUCGCUGUGAAGAUGCAGUGUACCCGCGGCAAGACGGAAAGACCCCGUGAACCUUUACUAUAGCUUGACACUGAACAUUGAGCCUUGAUGUGUAGGAUAGGUGGGAGGCUUUGAAGCGUGGACGCCAGUCUGCGUGGAGCCGACCUUGAAAUACCACCCUUUAAUGUUUGAUGUUCUAACGUGGACCCGUAAUCCGGGUUGCGGACAGUGUCUGGUGGGUAGUUUGACUGGGGCGGUCUCCUCCUAAAGAGUAACGGAGGAGCACGAAGGUUGGCUAAUCCUGGUCGGACAUCAGGAGGUUAGUGCAAUGGCAUAAGCCAGCUUGACUGCGAGCGUGACGGCGCGAGCAGGUGCGAAAGCAGGUCAUAGUGAUCCGGUGGUUCUGAAUGGAAGGGCCAUCGCUCAACGGAUAAAAGGUACUCCGGGGAUAACAGGCUGAUACCGCCCAAGAGUUCAUAUCGACGGCGGUGUUUGGCACCUCGAUGUCGGCUCAUCACAUCCUGGGGCUGAAGUAGGUCCCAAGGGUAUGGCUGUUCGCCAUUUAAAGUGGUACGCGAGCUGGGUUUAGAACGUCGUGAGACAGUUCGGUCCCUAUCUGCCGUGGGCGCUGGAGAACUGAGGGGGGCUGCUCCUAGUACGAGAGGACCGGAGUGGACGCAUCACUGGUGUUCGGGUUGUCAUGCCAAUGGCACUGCCCGGUAGCUAAAUGCGGAAGAGAUAAGUGCUGAAAGCAUCUAAGCACGAAACUUGCCCCGAGAUGAGUUCUCCCUGAGACUUAGAGUCUCCUGAAGGAACGUUGAAGACGACGACGUUGAUAGGCCGGGUGUGUAAGCGCAGCGAUGCGUUGAGCUAACCGGUACUAAUGAACCGUGAGGCUUAACCUU